rnacentral:rRNA from 1 species
GAUGAACGCUGGCGGCGUGCCUAAUACAUGCCAGUCGAGCGAACAGAUGAGGAGCUUGCUCCUCUGACGUUAGCGGCGGACGGGUGAGUAACACGUGGAUAACCUACCUAUAAGACUGGGAUAACUUCGGGAAACCGGAGCUAAUACCGGAUAAUAUAUUGAACCGCAUGGUUCAAUAGUGAAAGACGGUUUUGCUGUCACUUAUAGAUGGAUCCGCGCCGCAUUAGCUAGUUGGUAAGGUAACGGCCUACCAAGGCAACGAUGCGUAGCCGACCUGAGAGGGUGAUCGGCCACACUGGAACUGAGACACGGUCCAGACUCCUACGGGAGGCAGCAGUAGGGAAUCUUCCGCAAUGGGCGAAAGCCUGACGGAGCAACGCCGCGUGAGUGAUGAAGGUCUUCGGAUCGUAAAACUCUGUUAUUAGGGAAGAACAAAUGUGUAAGUAACUAUGCACGUCUUGACGGUACCUAAUCAGAAAGCCACGGCUAACUACGUG